rnacentral:rRNA from 1 species
CACAAGCGGUGGAUGAUGUGGUUUAAUUCGAUGCAACGCGAAAACCUUACCCACCUUUGACAUGGCAGGAAUCCUGAAGAGAUUUGGGAGUGCUCGAAAGAGAACCUGCACACAGGUGCUGCAUGGCUGUCGUCAGCUCGUGUCGUGAGAUGUUGGGUUAAGUCCCGCAACGAGCGCAACCCUUGCCAUUAGUUGCUACGAAAGGGCACUCUAAUGGGACUGCCGGUGACAAACCGGAGGAAGGUGGGGAUGACGUCAAGUCCUCAUGGCCCUUAUAGGUGGGGCUACACACGUGCUACAAUGGUCGGUACAAAGGGUUGCCAAGCCGCGAGGUGGAGCUAAUCCCAUAAAACCGAUCGUAGUCCGGAUCGCAGUCUGCAACUCGACUGCGUGAAGUCGGAAUCGCUAGUAAUCGCGGAUCAGCAUGUCGCGGUGAAUACGUUCCCGGGUCUU